UCUUCUCCGUCCUUUUUAGUUUUCGUUCAGUGACCUUUUAGUUUGUUAAGACAAAUCGUUAUGUUAUUAAGGCUAUUAAGGCCUGGUGUUGGAGGAAAAUUGGGGCAAAAUAAGAGAGCACUAAGUGCAAUCAAUAAGAAUGUAACAGGAGCUCCUCCAUUAGUACCCUGUGUUGUCAACAAGAGAAAUGUCAUUACUGAUAAUAAACCUAAUGCUGUUAACAAGAUCCCUCCCAUCGCCCAAUCACAAGGAAGUUAGCUGCACAUAUCGUAACAAAGCCGUCGCCAGUCCCAGUGGCACCAAACAGAAAUGAAUCAGAAGACUGCAUUAUUAUUGAUGCUGAAGAUUACAAGGCCACUGGUUAUUCUACCGUGCCAAUGUUUGUGCAACAUACAGAAGCAAUGAUGGAGGAAAUUGACACAAUGGAUGAGGAGAUAGAGAUGGAAGAUGUUGAACAUUUGUCAAUUGUUGAUUUGUUGACACAGACAGUUCUGAUAAAAAGAACUCACUUGCGGUGGUGGAAUACAUUGACGAUAUCUAUGAUACUGCAACAAGGCUGAGGUUGUCAAUUGCCGGAGUUAAGGUAGAUUUGCUAGAUGCAAGAAAGUAGCAGCAGAGAUCGAUGGAUCAGCGCCCCUUCCUUACGGUGUAUGCUUGGAGGAUACACUAGAAAGCAAUGAGGAAAAGAACGACGACUAUAAAGAUUUAACACAAGGAAAUAGACAAGAAUAUUCUACAAGGUAACAAACUAGCAGAAAUUGUUCUUAAAACAAAUAAAGAACAAUAGAUACAACAAAUACAACAAAUUGAGUUUGUCCCUUUUGAACUAGAAUACAAAUUCUAUUUUUUAGAUCAUAUUAGAUCAGAAGUUCUACUUUGGUCUCAUUACUUGGAGAUUUAGUUAGUUACUUUAUUUAAUGACUGGAAAUAAUGAGGUAGUUGAAAGUUGAACUUAUUCUCUCAAUCGGUGAAAAAAAGGAAUAUUACUUUUUCAGAACGCUUCUGCUAUGUCAUAUUACUUUAUCUGUAUGAAGAUAACUGAAGGUUACUUUAUAUUACUCUUCAGUUCUGUUUUUACUUUCUUAGGGGGACUCUAGGCUUUUCCGUAUUCAAUUGUUGCAUUUCUUUUUGUUUGACAUGUAGAAAAUUGGUACUUUUCUUCUAAGAAUUUAAGAAUUUGAUUUUGAAUUUUGAUUUAGUUUGGAAGGGUUAUACUACUUGAUAAUGGUAAUUUUGUGCAAAGGAAAUUGAAUUUGGGUGAAUUUUUUCCAUAAAAUUUAUACAAAUGUAGAAAUACUUAUAGAAGACAUGUAGCAGAAGUUAGAAUUCUGCAGUUUACAUGUUAGUCCAAUUGGAUGUAUUUCUAUUGGUAAGGUAAAUAGGUCAUGAUAUUAUAGCUAAUACAAGGCAUGUGUGGAUUUCAUGCCAUUGGUCUUACUUUUGUGGUUAUUACUAGCACUCAUCUUGCAGGGGCAAAAUUAUCGAAGGUACAACUCUAUUACACUUGAACAUACUUUAUCUUUCCUAUUUCUCCGUGUCCCUUACUUCCUAUCAUCUGAUAAGAGGAAUUAAACUCGAAAUUGUUGAGUUGUGUGAGAAAAAGAGGCCACGAUGAGCUACUAACAACAAUCAGUAGGUAAAUCUUGAAAUUAGAGAAGCUCACUUAUUAAUUGAUUGCUAAAGAAGAUGGCUUUGUUGUCACAAAAAAAAACUAUACAAAGCAAUCGAGUUAAAUGUAAAAGCAAAGAGUCUGUUAUCAUUCAUAAAAAAUUGCAAAUAGUAAGCUUUGUUGUGGUUAAUAUAGAUUUAGCUGAAUUCGUCGAUACAUGGGUAUCCAUUAGUUUUGUCAUCCACACCAAGGGUAUUACGGUAAGUGCACACCUGUCUUUUGAACAUCUAGGGUAUUCCACAAUUGCAGCUCUUUUAAUUUCUCUUGGUAACACGUGUUUUAGUGUGAGAUGCAACUGGCUUCCACCUUCCUUCAUAACCGAUUUAUGUCUUGCUUCUUCUUCUGUGUACUUUCUAUCAAACAACAAUGGAAGCUAAAAGCAAUAGAUUUGUGUGAAUCUCUGGGUUUGUAAUAUCACUAUUUUACUUGAUAUAUUUUGAGUUUUAGUGCUUCAGUCAUUUUUCUCUAUUUUUUCUCUAUAUAGAUAUAAUCUUUAACAUCUUCACUUCAUUUUUACUUUGUUUCUCAAGUACGCUCAACAAUGUUUUUAAUUGUCGGAGAUGAUGAUGGGUGGCUGGUGUUUUCAUUCUUGUUUUCCUCUUCUGUGCAAAUCCGUAAGCCGAAGUAGGUAAUACGAUUACGGUAAUUCGCUGGAAGUGACUAGCUGGAUUUUCAUUCACUUUCCUACUUUCAAAUCAGGUUUCUCCAUUUUGGUUCCAGCUUCUACUUGACAUAUGCUGUAUUUAUGAGCUCUGCAAAGUUUUCUCUCUCUUUUUUUUUUUUAAAAGAAAAAGUUGCUGAACUGUUUUUAUUUGGUUUUUCAUGUUCUUUUGGAUAUCUUCUAGAUGAAUUGUGUACAUGCAUGUCCAUAUUGAUAUCUUUGUUUUUGAAAAUAGAUGCAUACACAACACGUGCAUUUUUUGGGAUAUGAAAUUGCCAUAGAGUUUGUGUCAUUUAUGUGUUGUUUGCACUCCCAUUGAUGAUCUUAUAUUGUUUCUACUUUUUUUCCCUGAACUGAGCUUUGUUUCUUAGUAGAAUUAGCAUUAAAACAUUGAGCUUGAGGAAUGUGAUAUUACAAAGAAAUGGUACCAUGUGUUCAUUAUUGUAUUUGAUAACUUUGAACAUUGAGUUUGACGAAUGUGAUAUUAUAGUAGAAUAGUAGCAUGUGCUCUUUAUUGAACUUGGUGUUUGGAGAGUCAUCUUAUAUCAUAAACUUUGUCUCUAUAAUUGGUUUUGAGCUUCCUUGAUUGGUUUGGUUGUUUUCUCUUUGUUAUUUUAAUUAUUUAGUUUAUUCAAAUCAGGUAAUAUUUUGUUGCUUAGUUGAUUAACAAUCAAAACAUUAUUGAGGUGAGCCACUCUUAUUUGCAAGGACCUCCAUUUGCUAAAACUAAUGACUGCUUAGAGAAUGAAACAUGAGGCACAAACGAUAUGAAAGUUUAAGAUAAAAGGAUUAAAAAAAAAUUGGUAGCAUCAAUUUAGAUGUUGACGAACUCACAAAAGAAGGUUUGUCCAAGUAUAUCGAUUGUCAAACAUGGAAGUGCUUUGUUACUAUAGAUGGUCCUACUUUCAUUGAGGUCCUGCUGAUUUUAGUUCUUUUCUAAGGGGCUGGAAGAUUUAACGCGUUAGUGAAGAUCAGAGAUUGUGAGUUUUUUUCUAUGGAGCUAUUCUUAUAUCUUAUCAGGUGCUUCAAAUUCUUGAAUCACUACAUUAUGUUGGCUUCACUUUUCACUUUACGCCUCCACUGUAAUCAGUAGGGUUGGUCUCAUAAGCGUAAUUGAAGGAGAAUCUUACCAUAUCUUAUAGAUGAGAGAAGAAAAAGAGCAGGUGAAGGAUCUCGAGUUCUCAUUUGUGCCCAUAGAGCAUCUUAUAAUAAACUACAUCCACUUGAUGUUGUGUGGAGAUCGUGACAGUUUCCUACCAAAGAUUGAGAUUUUCUUUGUGGAGGCUUUGUUGAUCAGUGAACUAUACACAUUGAGAGAGUUCAGGACUUCAAAAUCUCCAUUCAAAGCUUAAAUUAAUUCUCAUACUAGAAUAUUAGCGCUCUUAAACAGAAGAUUGGAAUUGGGCGAGAAGUUUAGAAGUCAAGUUUGGAGCCAAUUAGGUAUCCUGGAUACAACAUUACUUCCAUGGCUAGAGAAACAAUGUCAAUCCAAGAACUCGCUUCGUACCACUAAUGGAGUCAGAUCCCUGUCAUCCCGGCCCGUAGCACUCUGGAACAUCUGGUUAAACAGAAACUGCAAUACUUUCAACAACACAACACUACCUCUACUUUUACCAUCACCAGGCAGGCCACUGAGUUCUACCAAGGUGGUAACUAUUAAUUACACAAAAAACCUGACCCCAAAACAACCAUUAUGGUUAAAUGGGAAAAACCCUCCUAUGAUUCGCUCAAAUUAAACACGGAUGAAUCCUUUCUUUAUGAAAAUAAGAAUGGAGGGCAGGCGGUGUCAUCAGAGAUACCAACGGAACAUGAAAGGAAGGAAUUGCAGCAAAAACUAUUACAAUUACAUUCCCCCUACAGACAAAAUUAUAUGCUUUACUGAAGGUGCUUGAACUAGCAUUCACAAAGAAUUUACAAACAUUGACAGUGGAAGUAGAUCACAGGUUCCUCCUACAUGGUCUGGGAAACCCCCCAAUUAGCCACAUCUAUCUUGAAGGAAACAAGGUGACACAUGCACUGGCAACCUAUGGAAGUCAUGGCACUGAUGAGCAAAAUGAAGGAAAACUAGUUUUUGGAAUGUUCCUACUAAUUUUAUAUUUUCAUAUUUAAACAAUGAUAAUUUAGAGAUAGAAUCGUUUAGAUCUAUCUCAGCUCUAUAAACACAUUUUACUUUCCCGCAUUUUAUUGAUAAGCCUUUGUUUUAGCAAAAAAAAAAAAAAAAAAAAACAAAGUUAGUUCUUGUUCAAGAUUAAUUAUUUUCUGGUUUCUCAUCCGGUGUCCAAUAUCCGUAUUGGGACCCCAAUUAAUCUGGAUUCAUUCCGCGUAAGCACAUUUAAGGGAAA